AACAGAGGGCAGCGAAGCCGCGAGGUGGAGCAAAUCCCAGAAAACUGAUCUCAGUUCGGAUUGCAGGCUGCAACCCGCCUGCAUGAAGUCGGAAUCGCUAGUAAUCGCGGGUCAGCAUACCGCGGUGAAUACGUUCCCGGGCCUUGUACACACCGCCCGUCACACCACGAAAGUUGGUAACACCCGAAGCCGGUGGCCUAACCCUUAGGGGAGGGAGCUGUCGAAGGUGGGACUGAUGAUUGGGGUGAAGUCGUAACAAGGUAUC
rnacentral:rRNA from 1 species